rnacentral:rRNA from 1 species
AGCCUCACGAAACCAUAUGAGGUACCGCCUGCCCAGUGACCAACAGGUUAAACGGCCGCGGAAUACGUGCUAAGGUAGCGCAAUCACUUGUCCUUUUAUUGGGGACCUGUAUGAAUGGCAUAACGAAGCUCAACUGUCUCUUCUUAUUUAAUUGAACUUGAUGUUCAAGUGAAAAAGCUUGAAUAAAACUGGAGGACAAGAAGACCCUAUAGAGUUUCAGUGCAAAAUACUCAUAACACACAAAAAAACAAGAAAAAACCAGUAUUUAACACUUUGAUUGGGGCAAUCUAGGAACAUAAAAACUCCUAACAAAUAAAUUUACUAAUAGUAAAAAAUAAAUCCUCAAAGAGAAUAAAGAAAAACUACCUUAGGGAUAACAGCGUAAUCCUUCUCAAGAGACCUAAUCGAAAGAAGGGAUUGCGACCUCGAUGUUGGAUUAAGGCAUCCUAAAAGUGCAGCAGCUUUUAAUGGUGGGCCUGUUCGGCCCUAAAAGCCUUA